UACAGAGGGGGCAAGCGUUGUUCGGAAUUACUGGGCGUAAAGGGCGCGUAGGUGGCCUUCUAAGUUGAACGUGAAAUCCCUGGGCUCAACCCAGGAACUGCGUCCAAGACUGGGAGGCUUGAAUCCGGGAGAGGGAUGCGGAAUUCCAGGUGUAGCGGUGAAAUGCGUAGAUAUCUGGAGGAACACCGGUGGCGAAGGCGGCAUCCUGGGCCGGUAUUGACACUGAGGCGCGAAAGCCAGGGGAGCAAACGGG
rnacentral:rRNA from 1 species